GGGAAACCGAGUCUUAACUGGGCGUUAAGUUGCAGGGUAUAGACCCGAAACCCGGUGAUCUAGCCAUGGGCAGGUUGAAGGUUGGGUAACACUAACUGGAGGACCGAACCGACUAAUGUUGAAAAAUUAGCGGAUGACUUGUGGCUGGGGGUGAAAGGCCAAUCAAACCGGGAGAUAGCUGGUUCUCCCCGAAAGCUAUUUAGGUAGCGCCUCGUGAAUUCAUCUCCGGGGGUAGAGCACUGUUUCGGCAAGGGGGUCAUCCCGACUUACCAACCCGAUGCAAACUGCGAAUACCGGAGAAUGUUAUCACGGGAGACACACGGCGGGUGCUAACGUCCGUCGUGAAGAGGGAAACAACCCAGACCGCCAGCUAAGGUCCCAAAGUCAUGGUUAAGUGGGAAACGAUGUGGGAAGGCCCAGACAGCCAGGAUGUUGGCUUAGAAGCAGCCAUCAUUUAAAGAAAGCGUAAUAGCUCACUGGUCGAGUCGGCCUGCGCGGAAGAUGUAACGGGGCUAAACCAUGCACCGAAGCUGCGGCAGCGACGCUUAUGCGUUGUUGGGUAGGGGAGCGUUCUGUAAGCCUGCGAAGGUGUGCUGUGAGGCAUGCUGGAGGUAUCAGAAGUGCGAAUGCUGACAUAAGUAACGAUAAAGCGGGUGAAAAGCCCGCUCGCCGGAAGACCAAGGGUUCCUGUCCAACGUUAAUCGGGGCAGGGUGAGUCGACCCCUAAGGCGAGGCCGAAAGGCGUAGUCGAUGGGAAACAGGUUAAUAUUCCUGUACUUGGUGUUACUGCGAAGGGGGGACGGAGAAGGCUAUGUUGGCCGGGCGACGGUUGUCCCGGUUUAAGCGUGUAGGCUGGUUUUCCAGGCAAAUCCGGAAAAUCAAGGCUGAGGCGUGAUGACGAGGCACUACGGUGCUGAAGCAACAAAUGCCCUGCUUCCAGGAAAAGCCUCUAAGCAUCAGGUAACAUCAAAUCGUACCCCAAACCGACACAGGUGGUCAGGUAGAGAAUACCAAGGCGCUUGAGAGAACUCGGGUGAAGGAACUAGGCAAAAUGGUGCCGUAACUUCGGGAGAAGGCACGCUGAUAUGUAGGUGAAGUCCCUCGCGGAUGGAGCUGAAAUCAGUCGAAGAUACCAGCUGGCUGCAACUGUUUAUUAAAAACACAGCACUGUGCAAACACGAAAGUGGACGUAUACGGUGUGACGCCUGCCCGGUGCCGGAAGGUUAAUUGAUGGGGUUAGCGCAAGCGAAGCUCUUGAUCGAAGCCCCGGUAAACGGCGGCCGUAACUAUAACGGUCCUAAGGUAGCGAAAUUCCUUGUCGGGUAAGUUCCGACCUGCACGAAUGGCGUAAUGAUGGCCAGGCUGUCUCCACCCGAGACUCAGUGAAAUUGAACUCGCUGUGAAGAUGCAGUGUACCCGCGGCAAGACGGAAAGACCCCGUGAACCUUUACUAUAGCUUGACACUGAACAUUGAGCCUUGAUGUGUAGGAUAGGUGGGAGGCUUUGAAGUGUGGACGCCAGUCUGCAUGGAGCCGACCUUGAAAUACCACCCUUUAAUGUUUGAUGUUCUAACGUGGACCCGUAAUCCGGGUUGCGGACAGUGUCUGGUGGGUAGUUUGACUGGGGCGGUCUCCUCCUAAAGAGUAACGGAGGAGCACGAAGGUUGGCUAAUCCUGGUCGGACAUCAGGAGGUUAGUGCAAUGGCAUAAGCCAGCUUGACUGCGAGCGUGACGGCGCGAGCAGGUGCGAAAGCAGGUCAUAGUGAUCCGGUGGUUCUGAAUGGAAGGGCCAUCGCUCAACGGAUAAAAGGUACUCCGGGGAUAACAGGCUGAUACCGCCCAAGAGUUCAUAUCGACGGCGGUGUUUGGCACCUCGAUGUCGGCUCAUCACAUCCUGGGGCUGAAGUAGGUCCCAAGGGUAUGGCUGUUCGCCAUUUAAAGUGGUACGCGAGCUGGGUUUAGAACGUCGUGAGACAGUUCGGUCCCUAUCUGCCGUGGGCGCUGGAGAACUGAGGGGGGCUGCUCCUAGUACGAGAGGACCGGAGUGGACGCAUCACUGGUGUUCGGGUUGUCAUGCCAAUGGCACUGCCCGGUAGCUAAAUGCGGAAGAGAUAAGUGCUGAAAGCAUCUAAGCACGAAACUUGCCCCGAGAUGAGUUCUCCCUGACUCCUUGA
rnacentral:rRNA from 1 species